GAUGAACGCUGACCAGGAAGUGCUUAACACAUGCAAGUCGACUCGAGUCUUCGGGACUUGGGUGGACGGCACGGGUGAGUAACGCGUAAAGAACUUGCCUCUUAGACCGGGACAACAUUUGGAAACAGUUGCUAAUACCGCAUAAUGUAUCAGUUUCGCAUGUGACUGAUACCAAAGAUUUAUUGCACACAGAUGGAUUCGCGUCCGAUUAGAUAGUUGGUGAGGUAACGGCCCACCAAGUCGACGAUCGGUAGCCGGACUGAGAGGUCGAACGGCCACAUUGGAACUGAGAAACGGUCCAG
rnacentral:rRNA from 1 species